AUUCUUAGUAUCUUCCAACUGCCAAAACUCCUAAGAUGAUUAUCAAAUUCAAGACUAAAUACACAAAGAUGGAAUCACAAAAGGGCCUGAAACCUUGUUUGGCAAUUAAAACAUUAAAGUGAUUUUUCAUAUUUAAUAUGAUUUUCCCAAAUCGAAGUCACAGACAAAAUCGGCUGAACAGUCAACAAACACUAAAACCAGUCUUCAACGAGAAAAUCCCGAUUCAAUAUCAAAGCAGACAGCAUAGCAGCAGCUCAGAAAAUUAAACAAAAAAGGCCUAAUUUCAAUUCACCAAUUCAUAAGAUUUCCUAUUAUUAAAAACCAAAUACUAAUUCUUUUCCCAAAAUUUAAACAGAACAAGUACAGUUCAACCCUAAACACUAGAUUGCCAAAAGAAACACUUCAAAAGAACAGACAAUUACCGUGGGAAAAGUGUUGCUUGUGUAAGAAAUCAGCAAACAAGUUUUACCAACGGCACCAUCACCAACAGUCACACACUUUAUAAACCUUGCAGCGCUCAUUUUCUUUUCUUUUUUGUCACUCAAAAGAAAAGUGAAAGAAAAUAAUAGACUCGGAUCUUAACACCUGAGGACAAAGCUUGAACCCCUAAAGAAAACUCCACAAGAUUACUACUUUUCUCCUUCAAUCAGUCAUCUGAGUAGCGUAUUUCCACCAAAUAGGUAUAACACUUAAAGAAAGACAAAGGGUUGAAGGAAACCAAGGCUGGAAUUAAAGAAAAAAGAGGGAAUUG